rnacentral:piRNA from 1 species
UUUUACAGUUGGUUCUGUGGCUCUUUU